rnacentral:rRNA from 1 species
UACGUAGGGCGCAAGCGUUAUCCGGAAUUAUUGGGCGUAAAGGGAGCGUAGGCGGUUCGAUAAGUCACUUGUGAAAUCUCUGGGCUCAACUCAGAGUCUGCAAGCGAUACUACCGGGCUAGAGUCCGGAAGAGGCGAGUGGAACUCCUGGUGUAGCGGUGGAAUGCGCAGAUAUCAGGAAGAACACCAACGGCGAAGGCAGCUCGCUGGGACGGUACUGACGCUGAGACGCGAAAGCGUGGGGAGCGAACAGG